rnacentral:rRNA from 1 species
UGCGUAGGCGGUCCCGCAAGUCCGCUGUGAAAGCCCCGGGCUUAACCUGGGAAUGGCAGUGGAAACUAGGGGACGUUGAAUCUGGCAGAGGGGGGUGGGAAUGCCACGUGUAGCAGUGAAAUGCGUAGAUAUGUGGCGGAACACCGAUGGCGAAGGCAGCCCCCUGGGCUGAGAUUGACGCUCAGGCACGAAAGCGUGGGGAGCAAACAGGAUUAGAUACCCUGGUAGUCCACGCCCUAAACGAUGAUCACUAGGUGUUGGGGAAGCGAUUUCUCAGUACCGCAGCUAACGCGUGAAGUGAUCCGCCUGGGGAGUACGGUCGCAAGAUUAAA